CAUUAUCGUAUAAACUUGAACAGGGCUGUUGCUGGCCCUCAACUGAGGGUGUUGUGCACGCCUUGUCUCAUCUUUAUUUCUCCAACUUGUGCACAUUUUGUAGAUCCCUGGGAUGCCUUUUUAUGAAUUAUGGUUCGAGUUGGGACUGCUGUUGCUUCUUUGCUCUUUGAAAGAGGCCAGCUUUUCCUUUGCAUCUCCAGGGUCUAUGUCAAUCCUUCACAACCCCUAGAAUGUGUUUAGAAUGUUGAUAAAAAAAAGUGAAAUAUAAUACAACUUUCAGCAACGGAUCUCUUGGCUCUCGCAUCGAUGAAGAACGCAGCGAAAUGCGAUAAGUAAUGUGAAUUGCAGAAUUCAGUGAAUCAUCGAAUCUUUGAACGCAUCUUGCGCUCCUUGGUAUUCCGAGGAGCAUGCCUGUUUGAGUGUCAUUUAACUUAUCAACCACUUCAGAUUCUGGAUGUGGCUUGGAUGUGGGGGAAUAUCUUUGCAGGCCUUUUUUUGCAAAAGAAGGGUCAGCUCCUCUGAAAUGUAUUAGUGGCAUCUGAGCUACUACUGUAGGUGUGAUAACUAUCUAUGCCUUUGGUAUUCUGCAUGAGACAGAUUGCGCUGCUUAAAACUUGGAAAAAAACCUUUGACAAACUUGACCUCAAAUCAGGUAGGACUACCCGCUGAACUUAA
rnacentral:rRNA from 1 species